AAGGCCCCCCCUCACCUCAGCUGUGAGGCAGCAAUGGGCAGGGCAGGACGUGGGUAUGGCUGGUCAGUGUGAUGGGACAGCCCUGGGUCCCUGGGAGAGAGCAGAAAUAGGCAUGGGGAAAGGCUGCGGUCCCUGAGACUGUCCGUCAGCAAAUGGACCAACACUACUUGCAAGGAAACAUAUGGGUCACUGUGGGAUCCAGCACUAUGACCCUGUGACUGCAGGGCUGUGGUCGGAUGCUGAAAUAUGCUGAUUGCACUGAAGUUUCUGAAAAUAUGGAGAGAGUAUGUGCUGAACUGGGACUCUGCUGAAGGCAGAGACAUCCUGCCAAAGUGGUGGUGUGACCAGGCAGGAGGGGUAAGGCUGUCUGAUCUCCUUGUCCUUGGUACUGGUGCAUGGAGUGGAGAUCUCAGAGCAUGUUGGCUUGGAGAUGGUGCUGAGAGGAAGAGGACAGGAGGAGAUGAAGAGCCAUCAGCUUGGCUAGGGGAGGCAUGGGGAAGUUCCUGGCUUGCAGCAGGGAACAGCUCACAGCCCAGAUGAGGAGCUGACAGACAGGGAAGGACCCACAAAUAACUUAUUUCAACUCAGGACAUCAGGUAUAAUUUGAAAGGAAGAUUUGUGUUUGUGACUAUAGUUAAUUUCACUAGUCUUGUUCCAGUUUAUUAUUUUUGUGUUCUAAUAAAAUGCAGCCUCAGCUAUUAGGAGCCUUUGGUAUUCCUUGCUACAUUUAUUUAAAACAACAAUAAUGAUAACAAACAAACAGGAACACAAAGGUUUCAGCCCUGGGCUCUGGGAUUGCUGCUGCCUGCUGUGACAAGUGCCCACAUUCAUCCUGGUGCUUAGUAACGAGCAGUGAGUGUGGGGUUGGAGUUAUAUUAGUGAUUAGUUUAUGCCAGCAUAAACUAAUGCUUUAUUCUAGUACCCUCUAUGCAAACUUUGAGGUAUAUGUGUUCAGGCAGAUUUUUUUCCAAGGAAAGACAUCAGUAUUCCCCUUGUCCAAAUGCACUCCUCAGUAAGGAAAGAAGAUGACUCUCUGUCCCAGGGGUGCAUUAACUAUGGCACUCCUGACAUAUCGUCCCUGGAUCUCGCAGGCUUAGCUGGUCAACACACAACCCACACAGAAGAUCCUGGCUUUGUGUAAA